AGAGUUUGAUCAUGGCUCAGAGCGAACGCUGGCGGCGUGCCUAACACAUGCAAGUCGAACGUGAAUGGGAGCAAUCCCUAGUAAAGUGGCGUACGGGUGAGUAACGCGUAGGUAAUCUACCCCAAAGUCUAGAAUAACCUGCCGAAAGGCGGGCUAAUACUGGAUAGAGCGAUGGAAUCCGUAAUUGGGUUUUUCGGGAAAGGGAGGAAGCAAUUCCCUUUGCUUUGGGAUGAGCCUGCGUCUCAUUAGCUAGUUGGUAGGGUAAAAGCCUACCAAGGCUGAGAUGGGUAGCUGGUCUGAGAGGAUGAUCAGCCACACUGGAACUGAAACACGGUCCAGACUCCUACGGGAGGCAGCAGUGGGGAAUCUUGCGCAAUGGACGAAAGUCUGACGCAGCCACGCCGCGUGAGUGAAGAAGGCCUUCGGGUUGUAAAGCUCUGUCGAGCGGGACGAAAAGUCCGAGGGUGAAUAGCCUUCGGAUGUGACGGUACCGCUAAAGGAAGCACCGGCUAACUCCGUGCCAGCAGCCGCGGUAAUACGGAGGGUGCAAGCGUUGCUCGGAAUUAUUGGGCGUAAAGGGUAGGUAGGUGGUCUCAUUUGUCUGGGGUGAAAGCCUUGAGCUUAACUCAAGAAGUGCCCCAGAGACGGUGAGACUGGAGUCCUGGAGAGGGUCGUGGAAUUCCCGGUGUAGCGGUGAAAUGCGUAGAGAUCGGGAGGAACACCAGAGGCGAAGGCGGCGACCUGGACAGGUACUGACACUCAACUACGAAAGCGUGGGGAGCAAACAGGAUUAGAUACCC
rnacentral:rRNA from 1 species